GACGAACGCUGGCGGCGUGCCUAAUACAUGCAAGUUGAGCGCUGAAGGUUGGUACUUGUACCAACUGGAUGAGCAGCGAACGGGUGAGUAACGCGUGGGGAAUCUGCCUUUGAGCGGGGGACAACGUUUGGAAACGAAUGCUAAUACCGCAUAAAAACUUUAAACACAAGUUUUAAGUUUGAAAGAUGCAAUUGCAUCACUCAAAGAUGAUCCCGCGUUGUAUUAGCUAGUUGGUGAGGUAAAGGCUCACCAAGGCGAUGAUACAUAGCCGACCUGAGAGGGUGAUCGGCCACAUUGGGACUGAGACACGGCCCAAACUCCUACGGGAGGCAGCAGUAGGGAAUCUUCGGCAAUGGACGAAAGUCUGACCGAGCAACGCCGCGUGAGUGAAGGAGGUUUUCGGAUCGUAAAACUCUGUUGGUAGAGAAGAACGUUGGUGAGAGUGGAAAGCUCAUCAAGUGACGGUAACUACCCAGAAAGGGACGGCUAACUACGUG
rnacentral:rRNA from 1 species